GAUGAACGCUGGCGGCGUGCCUAAUACAUGCAAGUCGAGCGAACAGACGAGGAGCUUGCUCCUCUGACGUUAGCGGCGGACGGGUGAGUAACACGUGGAUAACCUACCUAUAAGACUGGGAUAACUUCGGGAAACCGGAGCUAAUACCGGAUAAUAUAUUGAACCGCAUGGUUCAAUAGUGAAAGACGGUUUUGCUGUCACUUAUAGAUGGAUCCGCGCCGCAUUAGCUAGUUGGUAAGGUAACGGCUUACCAAGGCGACGAUGCGUAGCCGACCUGAGAGGGUGAGCGGCCACACUGGAACUGAGACACGGUCAAGACCCCUACGGGAGGCAGCAGUAGGGAAUCUUCCGCAAGGGGCGAAAGCCUGACGGAGCAACGCCGCGUGAGUGAUGAAGGUCUUCGGAUCGUAAAACUCUGUUAUUAGGGAAGAAAAAAUGUGUAAGUAACUAUGCACGUCUUGACGGUACCUAAUCAGAAAGCCACGGCUAACUACGUG
rnacentral:rRNA from 1 species